UACAGAGGUCUCAAGCGUUGUUCGGAUUCAUUGGGCGUAAAGGGUGCGUAGGCGGCGCGGUAAGUCGGGUGUGAAAUCUCGGAGCUUAACUCCGAAACUGCAUUCGAUACUGCCGUGCUUGAGGACUGGAGAGGAGACUGGAAUUUACGGUGUAGCGGUGAAAUGCGUAGAUAUCAGGAGGAACACCGGUGGCGAAGGCGGUUCUCUGGGCCUGUACUGACGCUGAGGAGCGAAAGCGUGGGGAGCGAACAGG
rnacentral:rRNA from 1 species